rnacentral:misc_RNA from 1 species
GGAAGCAAAAGUCGUAACAAGGUUUCCGUAGGUGAACCUGCAGAAGGAUCAUUAUCGUACAAAAGGUGAGGGGCAUGCGAGGGCUGUUGCUGGCCCAAAAAGUCGUGCACACCUGAGUGUGUCCUUUCGCAUAAUAAUCCAUCUCACCCUUGUGCAUCACCACGUGGGCACCCUUUGGGAUCAUCUCAGAGGGGGGCUCGCGUUUUCACACAAACCCCCCUUUUAAAAGUGUAGAAUGACCACAUUUAUGCAAUCAAUACAACUUUCAACAACAUAUCUCUUGGCUCUU